rnacentral:rRNA from 1 species
GAUGAACGCUGGCGGCGUGCUUAACACAUGCAAGUCGAACGGCAAGAACUUUAGCAAUAGAGUUCCUAGAGUGGCGUAAGGGUGCGUAACACGUAUGCAAUCUGCCCUCAACAGGAGGAUAGCUCCCCGAAAGGGGAAUUAAGACUCCAUAAGAUCAUUUUAUGGCAUCAUGAGAUGAUUAAACUACCAGGGGUUGAGGAUGAGCAUGCGCAUGAUUAGUUAGUUGGCGGGGUAACGGCCCACCAAGACGAUGAUCAUUAGGGGAAC